CGGAUGUGAAAUCCCCGGGCUUAACUGGGAACUGCAUUCGAAACUGGCAGGCUAGAGUCUUGUAGAGGGGGGUAGAAUUCCAGGUGUAGCGGUGAAAUGCGUAGAGAUCUGGAGGAAUACCGGUGGCGAAGGCGGCCCCCUGGACAAAAAAUGACGCUCAGGUGCGAAAGCGUGGGGAGCAAACAGGAUUAGAUACCCUGGUAGUCCACGCUGUAAACGAUGUCGACUUGGAGGUUGUGCCCUUGAGGCGUGGCUUCCGGAGCUAACGCGUUAAGUCGACCGCCUGGGGAGUACGGCCGCAAGGUUAAAACUCAAAUGAAUUGACGGGGGCCCGCACAAGCGGUGGAGCAUGUGGUUUAAUUCGAUGCAACGCGAAGAACCUUCCCUGGCCUU
rnacentral:rRNA from 1 species